UCAUGCACGCAGGGGUCCGGGGCCGCGAAAGCCCCGGUGAGACAAACCCUUCGAACCUGAUCCGGAUCAUCCCGGCGUAGGGAGCGUGGCCCGGCCCCCG
rnacentral:ncRNA from 2 species